rnacentral:rRNA from 1 species
GAACGAGAAAGUGGAGCAAUCCAUGAGUAAAGUGGCGUACGGGUGAGUAACACGUGGAUCAUCUACCUUCUAGUGGGGAAUACCGUUGGGAAACCGACGACAAUACCGCAUAAGCUCGGGAGAGGAAAGCAGCAAUGCGCUGGAAGAGGAGUCCGCGGUCGAUUAGUUAGUUGGCGGGGUAAUGGCCCACCAAGACUGUGAUCGAUAGCCGGCCUGAGAGGGCACACGGCCACACUGGCACUGAAACACGGGCCAGACUCCUACGGGAGGCAGCAGUGGGGAAUCUUGCACAAUGGAGGAAACUCUGAUGCAGCGACGCCGCGUGAGCGAUGAAGCCCUUCGGGGUGUAAAGCCCUUUCGUCAGGGACGAUUAUGACGGUACCUGGAGAAGCAGCUGCGGCUAACUACGUGCCAGCAGCCGCGGUAAUACGUAGGCAGCAAGCGUUGUUCGGAGUUACUGGGCGUAAAGGGUGCGUAGGCGGCUUUUUAAGUUUGGUGUGAAAUCUCCCGGCUCAACUGGGAGGGUGCGCCGAAUACUGAGAGGCUAGAGUGUGGGAGAGGAAAGUGGAAUUCCUGGUGUAGCGGUGAAAUGCGUAGAUAUCAGGAGGAACACCGGUG